ensembl:lncRNA
GCGCAUAUUCAUUCUUCACACACAUACCCAUUCUUCAUUCACGUAUUUAUUCUAUUUUCCUCUCCACCCUUUUUUUGGAUGUUCUCAGGUAUACAAAGAUUAUGAUCAGCUGUUUAACCACUACAAAAAGAAACAUUAUCCUUGCUUGUAUGAAGAAUGCAUGUUUGUUGUGUUUGAUAACAAAAUAGACUUGUGUUUCCACUUGGCUGAGAAGCAUGAAGAAAAAGGUAAUAAUAAAAAGAGUAAAAUUACUUUUGCGAUAGGCGGUCCAUCGUAUAAUCAAAUUCGUAAUAAUGCGCAUAAUAAUGAAAACAAUAGUAGUAGUUAUCAUAAUACAUACGGUAUGAAUGACAGUAGCAGCAUUAAUAAUAACAAUUAUGCUAAUGAAAAUAAUAAUGAUAUAACUAAUUCAGGUGCUGGUAGUGGUGUUGGUACUGGUGGUAGUUUUACUGAAAAAAUAGACGUACGUAAUUACAAAUGUAUAUAUAAUUUUAAAAAAUUUUACGAUUGUUGGUAUUUUGAUUAUUUUGUUGAAUGCAAGUUAUUAGACUUUGUCGACUAUUUUAAAUCAAAUAAACCAUCUUUUUUCUAUCUAAUAAAAAAUGACUUGAAAUUAAUUUUAAACGUAUUUAAGCUAUUAGAUGAAAAAGAAUCUGAUUUAUUUUUCUCACAAAAUGAUAUAAUUAAGCUAACUGAAAGUGUUAUAGAAAAAGAUUUUUAUAUUAAAAAAAAAAAUAAUUUUUAUAUUUUUCAAUCAUUUUUUGAUUAUAUCAUGGAAAAAGUUGAUUUCUUAUUAUAUAACAAAGAAGAUUUGGAAAAAAAACACUUGAAUUUAUUUUUUAAUAUUAUUAUUUUUCGCUCUUUUAUUUUGUAUUACUCUUUUUGUUAUCUGUACAUAAAUGAAAAAAAAAUACACAUAGAUAAACAACUUAUUAUUUCGGAAAACAAAAUAACAAAAAAGGAUGGAAAGGAUGGAAAGGAUGGAAAGGAUGGAACGGAUGAAAAGGAUGAAAAGGAUAGACAGAAUAGAAAGGAUGGACAUAAUAGAAAGGAUGGACAGAAUAGAAAGGAUGGACAGAAUAGAAAGGAUGGACAGAAUAGAAAGGAUGGAAAGGAGAAUGUAAGGGCGAAUGAAAAUGAAAACACAAAGGUAAACACAAACAUAUAUGAAAGUAUUUUAUACAAAUAUGAAGAUGAUAUGGUAAAAAUAAGGAAAAUGGUGGAAGAAAAAACAAAUGUGAUGUUAAACCAAUUAAGCAAGUAUGGUUUUUUGUAUUUACUUUUUUUGUUCUUCAAAAUUGAAAAAUCUAGUUUCAAAAAUGUGUAUAAUAUAGUGAAAGAUGUUUAUUUGUUAUGUAAUAAUGUGUGUAAUACAAUGGACUUGAAAAAAAAAAAUCCAUUAAAUGCUGGAUCCAAGUUAUAUGAAACCGGUACCGAAGGAAGUGGUAUCAAAAACGAAAAAGAUGAUUCUUUGUUAGCUGUUAUCAACGCAUUAACCAACUUUAACGAAUUAAAAGAUGUAGAUCAUAUUAUAAAAAAUUUUUUCCAAAAGAAAAAUGCAAAUAACAAUAUAAUAAAAGACAUAUACGAUAAAGAAUUAGAUAUAUGUAAAAAAGUAAUGUUAGAUUUAUUAUAUUAUGUGGAACCUAAUUUAAAUUUAGUUUGUUUUUUUUAUUUAUUUUUAAGUAACUACUUUGCGGCACAUUUUAAAGACACAAGUAUAAAUAAGUUAAUAACAAUAUCAACUGCGCAUAAAAAAAAAAUAUUAAAUAAAAUAACUUAUGAUAUAGAUUUAGCAUCUUUAACUAGUAUAUCGAAAGAUUUGAGUAGCUUGGUAAAUGCAAAAACGCUGGAAGAAUGUCUAUCUACAGGUCCUGAGUAUUAUAGAAUAAGAAAAGACAUUGAAAAUAUAUUAAAAAGUAGUUAUAAUAGUAGUAGUAGUAGUAGUACGACUACUAACAAUAAUCACGGAAGUAAUUACACCAGUGGCUACGGAAACAAUAAUCGUGGAAGUAGUAAAAACGCUUCAGAUUAUUUGAAAAACACAGCUGACAUUAAAAGUAACACAAAUUUAUAUGACAUAACGUUAUCAUUGAGAAAUCGCUUUUUAAACAUCAUUAAACGCACUAAAAUAAACGAACUGUUUGUUAUUUAUUUUUAUGUCAGUAGUAUAAUUAUAUCAACAAAUAGUACUUGUAGCAAUAACAAUAAUAAUUUUAGUAGUAGUGUUAACAAUAAUACUACUACUACUACUACUUUUACUACUACUACUACUACUAAUAGUAAUAAUAAAAAAUAUAUUAAAGACGUUGAUUUCCCUGCGCUUCAAAAUACUAAUGAAACCAAUAACAUUGCUAACUAUAAUAAUACUUGUGUUGAUCGCUUAAAGCAUGGGAAAAUGAAUAACACUACCCACUCUAGUCUUAAUAGUAAUAAUAAAAAGAGUAAAAAAACGACUGAUGGUACAAACAAAAUGAGUCAAAUUUCAUAUAAAAAAAAAUUGGAAAAAAAUAAAAAGGCCACAGAUAAUUCAAAUAAUGCUUACAAAAAAAAAUUGGAACAGUUCCCUUUACUUCCCAAUAAGCCUGAAAAAACUGCUAAAAUUAAUUUAAUAAACGGGAAAAGCGGAGAAACUGGGAAAACUGUAAAAAUGGCCAAAAACGAGUUUUUAAAAAUAGGAAAGAACAUAAAAGAAAAUACACAAGAUGUUACUAAAACAAAUGCAAAAAACUUAGUAGACAAAAACAAAUUAAAUAAUAAAAAUAUAAAAACAGGUAGUAGUGCGAUAUAUGAUGAUUUAAAUUUUCCUUCGCUCAAUGUGAAUGCUGCCACGACUGAUGUGAGUAAACUUGGUAAAAGUAAAACUAAAGAGAAUAGCAACAGCAACAAAAAAGGUAACGAUAGUAAUAAAAAAAGUAGUAAUAGCAAUAAAACAAGUAGUAAUAACAAUAAAAAAGGUAGUAAUAAUAAUAAUUUGGUGAAAAUCUUUGAUGCAGACGAGUUUCCAUCCCUUCCGCUCCUAGAGGAAAAUAAAAAACAAACAUUGACUAACAGCAUUUUUUCAAUAACUAAAAAUAACACUACUAAUAAUGACAACAAAACAAAAGGUAAACUAAAUAAAAAUACCAAAAAUGAAGAUAAUAUAAAAAUCAGCUCAAAACCUUAUUUUAAUGCCACUGAAAGCAACAAUGUUACCUUUACAAUCAAAACAUUAAAAAAAACAAAUAAAUUAAAAAAAUGUAAUGUUUGUACAUAUGACAAUCCAUAUACAAGAAAAAUAUGUGAAUUAUGUGACAACCAUUUAUAAAACACAAGCUUCAAAAAAAAAAAAAAAAAAGGAAAGAACAAUGAAAGAAUGAGAAGUAAAUGAACUUGUAUAGGCGUGGGGGGGGUAUUUAUUUAUUUAUUUAUUUAUUUAUUAUGUUCAUGUACAUUCUUAUUUGUUGUAUAUUUGUAAACAUAGUUCUCAUAAAAAAAAAAAAAAAAUUGUUUAUGUCCAAAAUGAAAUUUAAAGCAAUGAAUAUUUUCAUUUUUAUAGUGACUAAACGAUG